AUUGAACGCUGGCGGCAUGCCUUACACAUGCAAGUCGAACGGUAACAGGUUAAGCUGACGAGUGGCGAACGGGUGAGUAAUGUAUCGGAACGUGCCCAGUCGUGGGGGAUAACUGCUCGAAAGAGCAGCUAAUACCGCAUACGACCUGAGGGUGAAAGCGGGGGAUCGCAAGACCUCGCGCGAUUGGAGCGGCCGAUAUCAGAUUAGGUAGUUGGUGGGGUAAAGGCCUACCAAGCCUACGAUCUGUAGCUGGUCUGAGAGGACGACCAGCCAAACGGGGACUGAGACACGGCGCAGACUCCUACGGGAGGCAGAAGUGGGGAAUUUUGGACAAUGGACGCAAGUCUGAUCCAGCCAUGCCGCGUGCGGGAAGAAGGCCUUCGGGUUGUAAACCGCUUUUGUCAGGGAAGAAAAGGUUCUGGUUAAUACCUGGGACUCAUGACGGUACCUGAAGAAUAAGCACCGGCUAACUACGUGCCAGCCGCCGCGGUAAAAC
rnacentral:rRNA from 1 species